rnacentral:rRNA from 1 species
AUUGAACGCUGGCGGCAGGCCUAACACAUGCAAGUCGAGCGGAUGAAGGGAGCUUGCUCCUGGAUUCAGCGGCGGACGGGUGAGUAAUGCCUAGGAAUCUGCCUGGUAGUGGGGGAUAACGUCCGGAAACGGGCGCUAAUACCGCAUACGUCCUGAGGGAGAAAGUGGGGGAUCUUCGGACCUCACGCUAUCAGAUGAGCCUAGGUCGGAUUAGCUAGUUGGUGGGGUAAAGGCCUACCAAGGCGACGAUCCGUAACUGGUCUGAGAGGAUGAUCAGUCACACUGGAACUGAGACACGGUCCAGACUCCUACGGGAGGCAGCAGUGGGGAAUAUUGGACAAUGGGCGAAGGCCUGAUCCAGCCAUGCCGCGUGUGUGAAGAAGGUCUUCGGAUUGUAAAGCACUUUAAGUUGGGAGGAAGGGCAGUAAGUUAAUACCUUGCUGUUUUGACGUUACCAACAGAAUAAGCACCGGCUAACUUCGCG